rnacentral:rRNA from 1 species
UACGAAGGGGGCUAGCGUUGCUCGGAAUUACUGGGCGUAAAGCGCACGUAGGCGGCUUUCUAAGUCGGGGGUGAAAUCCUGGAGCUCAACUCCAGAACUGCCUUUGAUACUGGCGAUCUCGAGUCCGGAAGAGGAGAGUGGAAUUCCUGGUGUAGCGGUGAAAUGCGCAGAUAUCAGGAAGAACACCCGUGGCGAAGGCGGCUCUCUGGGACGGUACUGACGCUGAGACGCGAAAGCGUGGGGAGCGAACAGG